rnacentral:pre_miRNA from 1 species
UUACUACUCCCUCCGUCCGAAAAUACUUGUCAUCAAAAUGGAUAAAAAGGGAUGUAUCUAGAACUAAUAUACAUCUAGAUACAUCCCCUUUUAUUCAUUUUGAUGACAAGUAUUUCCGGACGGAGGGAGUAUUUA